rnacentral:rRNA from 1 species
GACGAACGCUGGCGGCGCGCCUAACACAUGCAAGUCGAACGGAGUCAAGAGGAGCUUGCUUUUCUUGACUUAGUGGCGAACGGGUGAGUAACGCGUGAGUAACCUGCCCUGGAGUGGGGGACAACAGUUGGAAACGACUGCUAAUACCGCAUAAGCCCACGGAUCCGCAUGGAUCUGCGGGAAAAGGAUUUAUUCGCUUCAGGAUGGACUCGCGUCCAAUUAGCUAGUUGGUGAGGUAACGGCCCACCAAGGCGACGAUUGGUAGCCGGACUGAGAGGUUGAACGGCCACAUUGGGACUGAGACACGGCCCAGACUCCUACGGGAGGCAGCAGUGGGGGAUAUUGCACAACGGGGGAAACCCUGAUGCAGCGACGCCGCGUGGAGGAAGAAGGUUUUCGGAUUGUAAACUCCUGUCGUUAGGGACGAUAAUGACGGUACCUAACAAGAAAGCACCGGCUAACUACGUG